rfam:Pteropus alecto contig19068, whole genome shotgun sequence.
GGCUCCAUAGUGUAGUGGUUAGCACGUCUGCUUUACAUGCAGAAGGUCCUGGGUUCGCACUCCAAGUGGAGCCA